AAACCCCACCCCCAUAUUUUCAUCCUAUUUCUAUUUUUCCCCUAGAACAUAUUUGUUAUCUAUCAAUUUAGUCCCUUAUUCUCUUUCAAUCUUAACCCUUGAUCUGGAAAUGCUAUUGUUCUUAAACUGCCAUGUGGCAGCUCUCAGAUCCCUCUUUCCUUUCAUCUCUGCCCGAAACUCAUCUCAGAAUCUCAGUGCUCUCUUUCUUUCGGUUUCUUCUCUCUCUUUCUCACACUCUCUAAGCUCCGAGAGUUUCUCUCUAGCUUUCACCUCACUUCCCUCACAAAUCAAACCCAAAAACCAUAUAUUUGGGAUCCUUGAGACUUAACGAACUCAACGAUACCCUUGCAUGCGCCAUCAGAGCACCGUGGGUUUUUCUGCCAUUGAAGCCGAGAGCUUCAAAGCUCUAACACGCGAACCCAGCUCCGACGACGAACUCCGACGAGUUCGAGGUCCAUCUCUUCCCAAAACCUGCUGCAGUGCGUCCAGGUGAAGUUGCUAGUGGAGACUUCCUUAAUCUUUUUCCAUACAAUUCUGCUGCUUCGGAGUAUCUGUGAGUGGACCACCUUCGAAAAUUUGCAUGUUUUAUUGAUAGAAUUGCAUAAUUUAAUAGCAUGCCUUGCAGAAUUAUUGAUUUGAGGAAUACUUUACAGGAAGCAUGAUGAUUUGAUUAUACGUGAUUAUAUAUAUAUGUUUUGAACUAUUUUCAUUAUAUCGUAUUUUCUAUAGAACCCUCAUUCUGGUAGACUAUCUGAUCGAUGACGAUAGGAUGCUAAGAAUGUGUUUCAAAUGACUUUCGAACACCUCUUCGUAGUAUAGAGGAUCGAUGACUUUAUGCUACGAAGUUGUAUUUUAGAGAUGAAUUAUGUUUUGUGCGUACCUAGUGAACACUAUGCCGCCUGGGGCGAGGAUCUGGUGUUGGCAUUGAGGCCGGGAGAAAUAAUCCCUAGCGAAAGGCUGAGGGACACGGAGACAGGCAUUGGGCCGGGAGGGAGAUAUCUCUGGCUACGGGCACAGAGACUGAGGUGCAGGCAUUGGGCCGGGAGUAUUAUUAUUCAGUGCACUCACUAGCAGCACAACUUGUGUUAUGCUUCCUGAUACGAUUUCUGAUAUGAUUUUAUGAGAUUGAUUUGCAGAGAGAUAUAUGAAUUGUUUUUAUGGUAUGCUAGAGGAUUUGAGAAACCUAUCACUUAUUAUUUAGUAGUUUUCAUUAUUAAACUAUGGGGGUUAGUAUGUUCAUAACUGUUUUCGUACUAUGUAUGUAUAUAAACUUGGUCCACUCACCCUUGUUUUGCGCCCCCAUUCAGGUCUUAGGAACGAGGACUACGAGGCAUCAUACGAGGCAUUCCCCUACCAGUAGCAGUCUACCUUCCACUUGUGUAAUAAUUGUAAUGAUCUUUCCUUUUGUGAUCUUGACUUCGAACGUGUUUUGCACACUCUAGAUAUUUCCCUAAACUUUGUU